rnacentral:rRNA from 1 species
GUAGCUGGCUGAGUUAGUCCCUUGUUAAAUCCACCGAAUUAAUCGGUUGGAUUGCGGGGGAUACUGCUCGGCUAGGGGACGAGAGAGGCAGACGGUAUUUCUGGCGUAGGGGUGAAAUCCUAUAAUCCCAGGAGGACCACCAGUGGCGAAGGCUGUCUGCUAGAACGCGCCCGACGGUGAGGGAUGAAAGCUGGGGGAGCGAACCGGAUUAGAUACCCGGGUAGUCCCAGCUGUAAACGAUGCAGACUAGGUGUUUGGACGGCCACGUGCCGUUGCUAGUGCCGCA